rnacentral:rRNA from 1 species
GAAAUUUCAUUCGCACUAGUGAUAGCUAGUUUCCCUGGAAAGAUAUAAAAGUGUCCGGGAAGAAUAUAAAUUUAUAAUAUUGAUUAUUAUAUAUUGUAUUUUUUACUAAUUUUUUUGAGGAUAAGCUCAAAAAAAAGUUAAGAAUUUUCUAAUUAAAUUUACUGUAUAGGCUUAAAAUUGGCCACUAUAAAAGUUUUUUAUAAAAUAGUAACCUUAGUUUUAUAGAUAAAUAUAAUUUAAACUAACUUUUUACAGGGGCAAAAACUUUAAUUUAGAUAAGUUUUAUGCCUCUGCUAGAAUGAGUAUUAAAACUUAAUUAUGAAAGAUUUGUUUAUAUCUUCUUAAAAAAAAAUUAAAAAAGUUAAUUAACUAGAAGGAACUCGGCAAAUUUAGUUGUUUCGCCUGUUUAUCAAAAACAUGGCUCUUUGGCUAUAUAAAAUAUAAAGAGUCGAAAAUGCCC